UCCUCCACCUGAGCCUUUCUCAGCAAACCACCGGUGCUGCCGCCAAAAAUUGGCGAUGGGGUGCUUGGGUCCAACUCCGGUGGUGUGAAGCCCACCGGAGCCUCCUCAGUUUUUCCCUCUGCAGCAGUAGCCUUGAUGGGAGUUAGAGGGUUGGAGUAUUUAAGGGGUUUAGCAGCAGUUGGGAUUGAGAUAAAGGAGGAUUGAUUCCAUGGCACGAUCACAUGGUUGCUUGAUUUAAUGGUGGUGGUGGGUGUGAAGAGAGAGGCUUGAGUUGCCAUUGCCAUAAGGACUUGGAGAACUGUGUGUGAUCAAGAAGAUAGAAGGAGAAAAAAGGAUUAUAGAUUUAUGAGGGUGGUGGAUCUUAAAGGAAUGGUAGAAAUGUGGAUAAGAUGGUAUAGGUUGGACCAAUUAGAUUGUCUGAUUUUGAUUCGUUGGCUUGCGAGGGCCAAUUAAAAUGCCGAUUUUGAUUUGUUGGCUUGCCUUACCCACACCUCAUUUCCUUCUUUCUUUUAAUGCGUUUCCUGCUUUAUUUCAGGCCUUGGGCCUGAUUUCUUGGGUCUGUUUCAUUGGGCCUGAUUCCUGCAAAUAGUUUUCCACUGGUAUUUAAAAAAAUAAUAACUUAGAAGAAUAGAUUAUUUAUAGAUAAUACUGCUAACUGCUAUGCAUUAAAAACAAGACCAUUGAGACUGGGAAGUAGAUAGAAUAUUUUCAAUCCCCAUCACCUGAAUUAGGUAAAAUUUAAAAGAAAGCCCCAAUAGCAUUUAAUACAAGGGCAUUAUUAUGUGACAAGGGUAGUCGUCCCAAAUUUUUUACACAAUGUACAACAAAUUUUAACGUGGGACAACACCAGCUGUUUACACGACUCAUUCGAACCUGGGAUCUUCCUCCCAGCCACAAAGGAUCUUUUCCCUGACUCCAGCAGCUGACCUUCUAGUCACAAUGGAGCCAACUAUUGUUGCACCAAGGUGAGCCCAUAUAAACAAGCUACAAGCAAUAAUUUACUUCACAAUUCACAAACUCCUCUCAACAAAUUCCCAAAUCCUUUCUUCCAUGUAAACUCGGUCCCUGUGCCGGCGUGGCAUGUGUCGUUCAUCUGGGAAGAUUAGUAGCUCAUAUGGUUUACCAGCUGCCACCAGCGCAUUCACAAGCCUUGCAGUGUGCCUAAAAUGCACAUUUUCAUCAAUCAUUCCAUGCACCAAUAAUAACUUUCCUUUUAUCUUGUGCACAUGAUGCAUCACAGAGCUGUAUUCAUAACCUGUAGGAUUCUGGGAGGGCAAUCCCAUAUAUUUCUCCGUGUAAAAUGUGUCGUAUCCAUCCCAUGACGUUACAGGAGCUCCAGCUCCAGCACAACGGAAGACGUCAGGAAACCUGGCGAGAAUCAUAGCUGACAUAUAUCCCCCAUAGCUCCAACCGUACAACCCAAUAUGACCAACUUUUGCUAGCCCUUGUUUGAUGAGCCAUUCAGCUCCAGCAAGCUGAUCAUCAGCAUCCACACCACCAGCAUUGUAUUUAAGAGCACCUUCAAACCUUAGCCCACGCCGAGCACUUCCUCUAUUAUCCAACUGUAAAUGGUGAAACAAUCAAGAUAAAAGUAUUUUAAAAACCAAUAAAUGGAUGUGAUUUGAGAUGUUAAUGGAAAAUAGCAAGUUUAUUUUUGUGUCAUAACACAUUAGCAUUUAAGCUGCUUACUGCAAUGCAUCAUAGUAUAAGAUGUCUCCAAACGUUACAUUCAAUAGCUAAACAUGUCCCUUUCCGUUGCAGGAAUAUUCAAGCAUGAAAGAACUUGAGAUUUCAAAAUACGUGUGCCUAAACAAGCACCUAGCAAAAAGAACACAAACAAAUAUCCAGAAAAUGCAAGUUUCCAUCGUUCAAAUGGCAGAAAAGAAUUAUGAUUAACACAUUAUGGAAACAUUGAGGUAGGUAUUCAAAUGGGCAGCUGUAAUGCGUUCAGACAGCAUUUUUGGACAAGACAGGUGUUUGGGAGAAAAAAAUACCACCACAUUCUACCCAAUUAAAACAGUUAUCAAAACCAAGUCAACAAUUCAGGUUUCCGAAUUGAAAAGACUAACCUUCCAUACCAGAAUGCCUUUGCUCCGUAGAUAUUGAGCUCUCAUGUCAACUGUAUUUAACCAAGAAUCAGAGACAUAUUGCACACCUGGACCACCAUACACAUUGAUCAAGGUUUUGUAUGGUGGUGGUCCAAAUUUUGUUGGGUCAGGCUUAUAUAAAGCUCCAUAUAAUAUGGUCCCAUCAUUUGCCUGAACCUGAACUAUCUUUGGAGGCUCAAGUUCAAGCCUCUUAAAUCGUGGAACGGUAGAUGACUGUUCAUGCAGAGGCAUAAUUACAGUUCCAUCAAGCAAGGAGCAUAGCAAAAUCCUAGGGGGACAGGCAAGGGAAUCGUGAAUAUCAACAAAAUUACGCAUGUGGUGAUCAAGCACAACCACAUGUUUCCCCUUACCAUGCGUUAAUCUCACUGGGCCAAGCGAGUUCUGGUUGCCAUCUGGGUAAAGUUUACAGCAGUAAAGGUUAGAUUGCAAAGGUCCAUCUAGAGUUGCAGUAAAAUACACAAGCCCUGCAGCCUCAUUUACACCAACAAUUUGCUCAACCAUCCAUUCGCCUUCAGUGAUAGGUGCCAAGCAUGGGCCAUUUGCAUCAUGGAGAUACAAAUGUCUAAAGCCUGUUUUUUCACUUGCCCAGAUAAAUCCUCCAGAAUAUUCAGAAACACCUUUAUCCAAAGGAGUGAAGCAAUCAUGUAAAUUAACCCAUGUAUCUUGUUCUUCCACCAAUAUAACUUUUCUUUGCCCUGUCUUAAUAUCAAAUUUCAGGAUCUUUAAUUUGGAGUGAGACCUGUUUAGAACCUGAGCUAUGAGGAUAUCUCCAUGCAUCCAGUUGACUCUGGCCAAAUAUUCCUCCUCGUUGUCCAGUUCUUUAGUUCCUCCACAGUCAAGAUCCAACCAUGUCGUAGGACCACCAGCAACAGAAACUACCCCAAGGCAAACUUUGGCAUUUGAAGCUCCUGCAAAGGGAUAAGCAUGGUCUUCCUGUGCCUCUACACCAACAGAACUUUUACCUUGGUGCAUUAUUCUAAAAAGAGGUAUCUUAGAUGAAUCAACUUCUGUGAAUGCAAUGAAUUUGCUGUCAAGUGACCACCAAUAUCCAUUUUUCCUGUCCAUUUCCUCCUGCAAUUGACAAAAUUAAAGAUCAGAGAAGAAAUAUAAUUCUACCCAGAGAGGAAAAGCAGUGACAACAGCAGCAGUGACAAAAUUAUAGAAUCAAUUUAAUGCAACUUAAAACGAGUAAAACUAGUAUGUUUGCAUCAAAAAGAGAAAUUAGUAAAGGUAACUCCAGAAACACGCACAGAGAAUCUGGGUUGCCAUCCAUGACUAGGAUCUGUGAUUUAGGAAACUUCAGGGGAAAGGUAUCAACAUAAUUUGCAAAAUCGAAAAAAAAAAAAAGGUAGACAGAUUCCUUUUUAUACGUAACGAAAGCAUAUAAAUUCACUUCACUAGAUACUUGUCUGAACGUAUUUACUUUCAACAACCCUUAAAUCUAUUUCUCUUUAUGUUAUGGCAUCCAAAACCAACUCACGUUGAACUCUGGAAUAAGACCACCAGUCUUUUAAGUAUUAUAAUCCCCAUCUUCAAAUUCUCUGAAUGGACUAUGGAUUUGAUUAAUCCAAAGAGACAUCCACCAUACACCAUAGAGUUUUUACACACUCAUAGUGGAGCAAAUCAUUAACUGUCUCCUUUGUUAGAAUGCAUGAUUAACCAAAAACUCCCUCAUCAUAAAGUUAUUUAUCAUUAAAUUCUCCCAAGAGCCUCCUUAAGCAAACAUGACUCUUUUGAGAGAUGAAAAGGAAAACUAUUUGCAAAACAGAGAACGUCUAAUUUAAUGCAUAUAAGGAAAAUGAAAAGGAAAUAAUUGGAUAUAUUUCUCACCUGAGCUAUAUAUUCAGCAAGGCCAUGAGUCUGCAGGGGCAAAAAGGAAGGCUAUCAACUUCAAAGCAUAAGAGCAUUAAUAAAAAAAGAAUUUAUUCACCACAAUGCAAAGUGUCAAUUUUUGUUCCUAAAAUCAUAUGCAUCUACAGAAGAAAAUUGAAGAAACCUGUCCUGGCACCAGAGCCUCAGCAAUGUAAGAACAAGCCACAGACCCUCCUCUAGAAAACCACUUCAAUUUCAAUGUUACAGGGAAAACAUAAUAUGAAACAAGAAUAAAAUUGUCAACAUCCAAAACUAAAUUCCAGUACCACAUUCAGACAAGUGUUCCACAGUUCUACCAUAUCACGGUGGCCCGGGUUAAACUUUGCAAACACCUAAGAGUAAGUAACGGAAAAUUUAGAGAUAAGCUGAGGAAGAGUAUGAACUAACAACAUCUUGAUUUCUUACCCAUUACGGAACCUAGUAUCCUGCAUAACUUUAAAUAUCAGGCAUAAGUGGAUGCAAAAAGAACCAAAACUGGAAAAACAUAUUGGUAACAAACUGCCCUACAUAUAAUGUGCAAGUUUGAAAGUAAAGAACUAGUUGGCAGUGAUUUAAUCUGAAAAUAUGCCCUGGACAGAGCUGCAGUGUAAAGAAGAAGCAUACACUAAGAACCACCUAGUUAGACUUGAAGUGCAUUGUGAAAUUAUUACAGAGCUGUAUAAAUUAUAAUGCUUGAUAUCGUAAUCUAUUGGACCAUUAAGAGUCAAGAUGGUAGAAGAACAUAUUUCUCUUUCAACCAGACCACCAAUAUCAUUAAGACAGAAUAAAAAGACACAAAACAAACAUGUCAGUCACUCAACCUAUGCCAUGAUGUAUUAGUUGAGAUGAAAUCUAUGCUUAUACUGCAUCACAUCCAAUGAUGAUUACAAAGAUUGAACCUUGUAAAGUUACCAGUUAAUUGAAACCUACCACUACAUUUCCCUGUGCACCAUGUGUUAGUUGUUUUGGUUCAUUGUACAAGAGAUUUAAAACAUGCAGCUCGCUAUCCUUCACAUAAGCGAGCAUAGUACCAUCCGGGGACAGAUGUGGAUCAAUAAUUGGUGAAAAUGGUGAGCUAGGAAGUUUAAGCUCCACUUUUGAUGAAUAAAGUUCCUGCAAAUAAAUCUGUAAACACAUAGGAAAUAAACCGUCAGCAGAGCUUAAUGAAUUCAAAUUUGUGGCAUAACCAUCCAAUGGAAUUCAAACUGAAAUACUUUCUGUUAAUUCUUUCUAUUCCAUAUUUCAUUGGAUUUGGCAAAAUCCUCUACAAAAUUAACUUAAAAAAGUACUGAACAUUAGAAAACAGUUUAAAUUAGCAAAUGCAGUUCUACCAGCUGCAAAACAUGAAAUGAGAUAUAAGCCAACUCUAUAAUAAUACCACCAGCGAGAAGUACCAAUGAGCAACUUUUAUUCCUUCGCCUUGGUAAGGCCAAUUAUCCAUGUAUAUUGUUUAAGGGAAAAAAGACACAAAGCAACAAUUACAAAACAAUCUCACCAACUAUUAUAAAUUACAAGAAAUAAGUGAACAAACCCCUGCAGGCAAAGGCACCAUAAUUGCUUUCUUCUUUGAGUUUGUCUUCACCCAUUCGUACCGUGUCACUCCAAGUCCACGUUCUCUUGAUCUCUCUCUUCUCAACUUCUCUUCUGGCGAUAUGUUACUCUCAUCAAGUCCACCAUCAGGAGGACUAAAAAACAGUUCCCGUUUACCAGUCUUGAGAUCAAAAGCAAACACCAUUCUACUCAAAUUUUGAUCGGGACUAAACAAGAAAGUUAUUAAAGUAUCAUCAGGACUGAAACUGAUUGAAGUGGGUGCAUCGUAUCCUGGCAAUGGGGAUUGCACAAUAUCCUCAACAGGGAAAAAAAUGCAGUCAUCAAGAUUUUGAGGAGCUAUGGUGUCAGUCACAGGCAUGUCGUUACUGAAUGAUCUCAAACGCUUCAAUUUAUUGUUCUGGUUCUCGUUAACCGAUUGCAUUACAAGAGAACUAAAUGCUAUCAAUUAAAUUGGUAGAGAGCAUGAACCAAACCCUUCAAAUGAAAAAUCCAGAAGAAAGACAAGAUUAAAAGCUAUAUUAUCUGUGUAAAAUCACAAACUGACAUUAAAUGAACUAAAACAGCGUUAAUUUUAAUAUCGAUCUUUUCCCCCCAUUUUCUGAGCAAUAAAAUGUAAAACUAACUCUUUUUUUUUUAAAAUAAAAUAAAAUCAUUUCCAUUUCGUGCUGAUUUUCUUCCAAACACACCAAGGAAACAAAGAAAGCAACAUAUUUUACCUGCUAAGAAACUCCAAGGAUUAGUUCACUAAGGAAGCUCUCUCCACGACGAGAAAUAAUCAGCUGGAUCCUGUAGUAGAAUAUGAAACUGUAUCGCCUCCACAAUCAAAACUUUCAUUAUCUUUUCCAAAGAGGACUUGGAUUGGAAUAACAAAAACAAAAACUAUCAUUCAUUGGAAAAGACAAUGGAAAUGAUCGGCCAUGAGAGGGAAAGAAAGAUUCCUGGGCAGAUCGAGUUAUUCGAUUAAAAAUCUGAAAUUGAAGAGGAAUAAGGAAUUGGAUUCUGAGCUUGGAGUUGGAGAUAACUGGAAGAGAUCUGCUGAAAAGCUGAGCUCCUUUUGGUUGCUGAUUGUGGACUUUUAGCUUCCGAACUUGAAAUACGUUAGAUUCCAAGCUAAAACCCAAAGUCUGUUACACUUCAUUAUUACUAUUAUUUUCAGCACAUUUUAAUCUCUACAAUUUUAUUAUUUUAUCAAUUUUUUCCUUUUUAAUAAAGAUUAAUUUUUUUUAUAAAAUUACAACUUUAAUUGUAAAAUAAUUGUACAAUAAAAUAAUGAUUUUUUUAAAAAUUAAAAAUUAAAAAAUAAAAAAUAAAAUUUAAAAUCAUUCAUAUUUAAAUCAUUUAUUAUUAUAUUAAAUUUAUAAAUAUGUAUAAUAAAAUAAUAAUAUAUUUGCAUAAUUAUUUUGAUACAUAUAUUUUUUUUAAUAAUAUUUUUAAUUAAGUAAAUAUUUGCAUAACAGCUAUAAUAUCCAUAAAGAGGAAAACGACAAUCACAUUAGAAAGUUCUACACACAAAAUGAAAAUUAUAGAUAAUAUAUUUAAACUUAUCAAAGUAAAUAAAAAAAAUAAAAAAUUGUUGUUGAAUAAUGGUCAUAAUUUCAAAUUAAAUUUAGAGUAGUAAAAUUAAAGUAAUAAUAAUUGUGAAUUGAAAUAAUUAAAAAAAAUGCACUAAAUCAAAUCUUUAAGUCCUUCGCCUGUCAACUUUACGCCUGCCAAGGGUCGCCAAAGUCAAUAAGCAAAUUUUAUAGGUAUUUAAAUUAAUGAGUAAACUGUAAUUUAGUCCCUCUGUUUUAGUGAAAUAUAAUCUCUCGUCCCUCUAUUUUAAAAAACCUUCAAUUUAAUUUUUUACAUUUAAAAAAAUUAUAAAAUAGUCCCUACCGUCAAAUUUUCAGUUAAUAUUCCGUUUAUUUUAAUGAAAAUGACUAAACUACUCUUUAAAUAAAAAAAUUCAACCAAACAGUAUUCACUCCAUUUCAACACAGGAGGAGGAGGAGGAUAAAGGAUCAGGAAAAGAAUGAGAAGGAAGAGGAGGAGAAAAGAAAAAAGAGGAUUGGGAGGAGGAGGAGGAGGAGAAGGAGAAGGAGAAGGAAGAGAAAGGAUCGGGAAAAGAAGGAGAAUGAGAAGAAGAAAAAGAAGAAGAAGGAGGAGGAGGAGGAGAAAAGGAAGAAGAGGAUCAGGAAAAGAAGGAGAAGGAUGAGAAAAAAAAGGGUAGUUUAGUCAUUUUUAUUAAAAUAAAUUAAAGGUUAACUGAAAAUUUGACGGUAGAGACUAUUUUACAAUUUUUUUAAAUGUAAAGGAUUAAAUUGAAGAUUUUUUAAAAUAGAGGGACGAAAGAUUAUAUUUUACUAGAGAGAUUAAAUUGUAAUUUACCCUAAAUUAAAUUUAUAGUUGAUGUGACGAUUACCCAUAACUGAUAAAGCGAUUUAUUAAAUUUUAAUGUUUUUUACCUUAUUAAUAUGGAAAAUUAUUUACAUAUAUGGAUAAUAUUAAAAUUUUUUAAAUAUAUUUAUUCCUACUAUAAUAAAUUAAACAAUUUUUAUAAGUUAUAAACCUAUUACUUAAUUAAUAUUUUUUAAAUAUAUUUAUUGAAUCAUUCACAUUUAGUAAAUUUACAAAUUGAUCUUAUAGUAAUGAAGAGAAAGAUGCAAACACAUUCCUUAGCUUUAGAAUGCAAAAAUUCGUUUACAUAUGCAAAUGGACUUCUCAUACCCAUUGUUAAGAAAUUUUGGCUGUUUUAAUUUUUAAUUUCUGUUCAUCGGUUUCAAAUGAAAUAAUGAAUUUGCAAAUAUCUGUUACUUAAAAAUAAUCUGGUGAUAAUAGCGCUAAUAAUCUGGUGAUAAUUAGGGGUAUGCCCUCCUAAUUUUCUGUAUGAGGCUUUGAUGAUG
rnacentral:lncRNA from 1 species